rnacentral:SRP_RNA from 2 species
GCCAGGUGUGGUGGCGGGCACCUGUAAUCCCAGCUACUCAGGAGGCUGAGGCAGGAGAAUCACUUGAACCCAGGAGGCAGAGGUUGCAGUGAGCCAAGAUCAUGCCACUGCACUCCAGCCUGGGUGACAGAGUAAGACUCUGUUUCUC